rnacentral:rRNA from 1 species
AGAGUUUGAUCCUGGCUCAGGACGAACGCUGACGGUGUGCUUUAGACAUGCAAGUCGAACGAGAAAGUCCUUCGGGGUGAGUACAGUGGCGAACGGGUGAGUAACACGUGGGCAAUCUGCCCCUCGCAGGGGGACAACCGGGGGAAACCCCGGCUAAUACCCCGUACGCUUACGGAGCCGCAUGGCCCCGUAAGGAGAGGUAGCUUCGGCCAUCCGGCGAGGGAUGAGCCCGCGGUACAUUAGCUAGUUGGUGAGGUAACGGCUCACCAAGGCGACGAUGUAUAGCUGGUCUGAGAGGAUGAUCAGCCACACUGGGACUGAGACACGGCCCAGACUCCUACGGGAGGCAGCAGUCGGGAAUCUUGCGCAAUGGGCGAAAGCCUGACGCAGCAACACCGUGUGAGCGACGAAGGCCUUCGGGUCGUAAAGCUCUAUUGUUGGGGACGAAGGGUUAGGGGUUAAUAGCCCCGAGCCUGACGGUACCCUUCGAGGAAGCCCCGGCUAACUACGUGCCAGCAGCCGCGGUAAUACGUAGGGGGCGAGCGUUGUCCGGAAUUAUUGGGCGUAAAGAGCGUGUAGGCGGUUCGGUAAGUCUGCCGUGAAAACCCAGGGCUCAACCCUGGGCGUGCGGUGGAUACUGCCGGGCUAGAGGGUGGUAGAGGCGAGUGGAAUUCCCGGUGUAGCGGUGAAAUGCGCAGAUAUCGGGAGGAACACCAGUAGCGAAGGCGGCUCGCUGGGCCACACCUGACGCUGAGACGCGAAAGCGUGGGGAGCAAACAGGAUUAGAUACCCUCGUAGUCC